rnacentral:misc_RNA from 1 species
AUUGUAUUUGACAUAUAAAAGUAGUAUCGAUACAUAUUUUAAUCAUUAAUGUGUAAAAUACCUAUAUUUCUAUAGUCUUCAAAAUUCUAUUGAAGUUGUAAUCUCGACCACACAGAUUAAUAUCAUAAUAGUAAUAUUGUCAUAAUCCACUGUUUUGUCAUUAUUGCAGACUAUUAUUCUAAGCGGAUGAAUGAACUUAAUCGUUGACAUUAAAUGUCAAAAUAGUUAAAUUGUUGUAACACAGCCAUAUUAAUUCAAAUUUUUCUAAAAUGUUCCGAAAAGUAAUUUUGAGGUAUUUUAACACAUAUAUGAAGAAUUUUCGUCUAAAUAUAACGAAAAUCGUCAAAAAUGCUAUCUGAAAGUAACGCACUGCUUAUUCGAUAUGGAUGGUACUGUUUUGAGGGCUGAACGUAUAUUAACUCAUCUCCACGACUACAAAAUCCCGAUGGCGUUGGCCACAAACUCGACUGAACAAGCCGUUAGGCUACACGCUGCAGUCAGACCUAAGCUGUUUGGUCAGCAUUACUGAUCCAGCUGUACGUCAAGGCAAGCCAAGUCCGGAUAUAUACCUUGUAGCCGCUUCUAAAUUUCCGGAUAAGCCACAACCGCAACAGUGUCUUGUAUUUGAGGAUUCAGCUGUCGGUGUCACAUCGGCAAUAGAAGCGGGAAUGCAGGUUGUAAUGAUACCAGACCCUCGCCUUGAUCGAGAGCACACACGUCGAGCGACCAUCGUCAUCCAGUCUCUGAUGGACUUUAAGCCAGAACUCUUUGGACUACCGCCUUUUGAUGACACUCCUAAACGGUGCGACAGGGUCGAUACUUCCUAGUUGUAUAUAAUAUUUUGUUG